rnacentral:lncRNA from 1 species
ACUCACUGUCAGACACUGCAGAGUGAGAAACAGAUGAUGGUUCUGUGGCAAACGUCCUUUUGCUGAAUAUUCUACCUACGGUGAGUGCAAUGAUUGAAAGAUGAGUUCAAAUACUGAGGCAUUUAUAGCAUCCAGCUAUUAUUGUUGCUCCUCUGGUUCUUUCUGGGCUCAAUGGACGUCUCUGAUUUCAACAAUUCCCUUUAACAAUGUAUAACAGACGAUGUAAUCUGAAGUUCUGUGGAACCAUCCCAGGAACACACGGAGAUUCUUGAAAACACCCCAAAUGUGGCUCUUUAAUUAUCCGGCAGCAUGUUGUUUAGUAGCAGAUGAAAUACCAAAAAUCUUUGGAAGGAGAAAUGUUUUCAGGACUAUAAGGCUAAAUUGGAAAUGGAAAUGCAAAUUUGUUAUGUUUAGAGUAAGUUUCAUGGCUGGGGCUUUUAAAAAAAAUUUUAAAUCAACCUCAUAUUUGCUCUCCCAAAAAGAUGGAAAGUCUCCCUCUUUAUUUAAGUGUCUUAUCUUUUCUAGUGAAAAUUAAAAUAACUAUCAUUUUACUAAUCAUUUAUUUUCCCAUUUAAAAUAACUUCAUGUCUCUACCAGAUACAGUUUUUCUUGUACAGAGUGCUAGAGUGAAAGUCAAAUUCACAAUCUUGUGAUCCACCCUUCUGGGCAUCUAGGGAGAAAAAAUAAACAACCAACAACAUAUAAAAACAUACUGUGACAUUAAAAUUGUAUGACUACAGGGAGGGUGUUGUGGGGGGUUACCUAUUUUCCUAGUCACCUGUGAAGUCCUGGCAUGUUAGGGCAGCCAGUGAGGGAUCUUCAUAAGAGGCUCCAGUGGAUCUUCAGAAGGAAAAAAAAAAAAACAAGAUAUAUGGGAGCUGCCUUGUAGCCUUAGGACUGAGACUUGUCAAUAAGAAGCACAGGGAAAAAGACUAUCUUUUACCCUUCCUACAAGAUCCAGUAUGGACAGGG